GAUGAACGCUGGCGGCGUGCCUAAUACAUGCAAGUAGAACGCUGAAGGAGGAGCUUGCUCUUCUGGAUGAGUUGCGAACGGGUGAGUAACGCGUAGGUAACCUGCCUGGUAGCGGGGGAUAACUAUUGGAAACGAUAGCUAAUACCGCAUGACAACAGUUAUUGCAUGAUAACUGUUUAAAAGGGGCAACUGCUCCACUACCAGAUGGACCUGCGUUGUAUUAGCUAGUUGGUGAGGUAACGGCUCACCAAGGCGACGAUACAUAGCCGACCUGAGAGGGUGAUCGACCACACUGGGACUGAGACACGGCCCAGACUCCUACGGGAGGCAGCAGUAGGGAAUCUUCGGCAAUGGACGGAAGUCUGACCGAGCAACGCCGCGUGAGUGAAGAAGGGUUUCGGAUCGUAAAGCUCUGUUGUAAGAGAAGAACGAGUGUGAGAGUGGAAAGUUCACACUGUGACGGUAGCUUACCAGAAAGAGACGGCUAACUACGUG
rnacentral:rRNA from 1 species